ACACAUGCAAGUCGAACGCAGUAGCAAUACUGAGUGGCAGACGGGUGAGUAACAUGUGGGAAUCUGCCUUGUGGUUCAGGACAACAUUGGGAAACCGAUGCUAAUACUGGAUAAGCCCUUACGGGGAAAGUUUUAAUGCCAUAAGAUGAGCCCGCAUUUGAUUAGUUAGUUGGUGAGGUAAUGGCUCACCAAGACAAUGAUCAAUAGCUGAUCUGAGAGGAUGAUCAGCCACACUGGGACUGAGACACGGCCCAGACUCCUACGGGAGGCAGCAGUGGGGAAUCUUGCACAAUGGAGGAAACUCUGAUGCAGCGAUGCCGCGUGAGUGAAGAAGGCCUUUGGGUUGUAAAGCUCUUUUGUAGGGGAAGAUAAUGACUGUACCCUAAGAAUAAGGUCCGGCUAACUUCGUGCCAGCAGCCGCGGUAAUACGAAGGGACCUAGCGUAGUUCGGAAUUACUGGGCGUAAAGCGCGCGUAGGCCGUUGAGUUAGCUAAUUGUGAAAUCCCAAAGCUUAACUUUGGAACUGCAAUUAAAACUGCUCGACUAGAGUUUGAUAGAGGAAAGCGGAAUACAUAGUGUAGAGGUGAAAUUCGUAGAUAUUAUGUAGAACACCAGUUGCGAAGGCGGCUUUCUGGAUCAACACUGACGCUGAGGUGCGAAAGUAUGGGUAGCAAAGAGGAUUAGAUACCCUCGUAGUCCAUACCAUAAACGAUGAUUGCUAGAUGUUGGAAAUUUAUUUUCAGUAUCGCAGCUAACGCAUUAAGCAAUCCGCCUGGGGAGUACGACCGCAAGGUUAAACUCAAAUGAAUUGACGG
rnacentral:rRNA from 1 species